AUUGAACGCUGGCGGCAGGCCUAACACAUGCGAGUCGAGCGGAUGAAGGGAGCUUGCUCCUGGAUUCAGCGGCGGACGGGUGAGUAAUGCCUAGGAAUCUGCCUGGUAGUGGGGGAUAACGUCCGGAAACGGGCGCUAAUACCGCAUACGUCCUGAGGGAGAAAGUGGGGGAUCUUCGGACCUCACGCUAUCAGAUGAGCCUAGGUCGGAUUAGCUAGUUGGUGGGGUAAAGGCCUACCAAGGCGACGAUCCGUAACUGGUCUGAGAGGAUGAUCAGUCACACUGGAACUGAGACACGGUCCAGACUCCUACGGGAGGCAGCAGUGGGGAAUAUUGGACAAUGGGCGAAAGCCUGAUCCAGCCAUGCCGCGUGUGUGAAGAAGGUCUUCGGAUUGUAAAGCACUUUAAGUUGGGAGGAAGGGCAGUAAGUUAAUACCUAGCUGUUUUGACGUUACCAACAGAAUAAGCACCGGCUAACUUCGUG
rnacentral:rRNA from 1 species